rnacentral:rRNA from 1 species
GCAGCCGCCGCGGUAAAACGGAGGGUGCAAGCGUUAAUCGGAAUUACUGGGCGUAAAGCGCACGCAGGCGGUCUGACAAGUCAGAUGUGAAAUCCCCGGGCUUAACCUGGGAACUGCAUUUGAAACUGUCAGGCUGGAGUCUUGUAGAGGGGGGUGGAAUUCCAGGUGUAGCGGUGAAAUGCGUAGAGAUCUGGAGGAAUACCGGUGGCGAAGGCGGCCCCCUGGACAAAGACUGACGCUCAGGUGCGAAAGCGUGGGGAGCAAACAGGAUUAGAUACCCCGGUAGUCCCUGUCUCUUAUAA